CCAAGAAAAUUUCAUUAAAUCCAAAUAGAGCAAUAUAGAAAGUUACACUAAACACUAAAAAAAAAAGAGUAUAAAAAUAGCAAUAAUUACCCACACAAAAAAAAUUGCAUAGUAAAUAUGUGAGUAUUCCAUAUUUUCCCUUUGGAUGUUUACAACAAAAUUGCUCGUUCUUAGAUCCCAUUUCUCAAAGUAGAUUUUUCAGGCUAAUCUUCCGGAAUUAUCUCUUUCCAGACUCCAUCUCCGGCAAUCGCCUCUCCCUUUACAAGAAACUCUACUUUGUUGACUCUCAUUAGCCAACAUAUGAACCACAGAAGACAUGCUUGGUCUAUCAUCUGGAUGUUGUUGCACGCAUAAUAAACCCACUUGAAUUGACCUUAAAACUUGAGAAAUAUUGCAAGAAUCAGCUAACUGCUCAUCAGCUAGUUCCAAGGACCUAUCAUCUUUGUAAAGCUUCCAUGCCUGUAUGAGUUUAGAUCAUAUGGAUCAUGACAAAUUCUAUUUUUGUAAAGAAAAAAAUGAGUUGUGUGUGUAAUACAGGUUAAACAGUGCUUACAUGACCGAGAAGGUUAAGGUUGUGAUCUUGAUGCAUAAAUCCUCUAUUUUUCUUGCCACUCACAAUCUCUAACACCAAUACCCCAAAGCUAAACACAUCUGAUUUUACCGAAAACAUCCCAUCUACUGCAUAUUCAGGGGACAUGUAACCGCUGUGCCAAUAAAACAACACCAUAAGAAUUAAAGAAGCAAAGAUAUCAUAUGAGAGUACAUUGCAUGAUAUUAGAGAUUCUUACUGUGUCCCAACCACAUUGCGUGUUUUUGCUCCCAUCUCAUUUCCUGUAACACUUCUGGCCAUGCCAAAGUCUGAUAUCUUUGGAUUCAUUUCUGUAUCUAGCAAAACAUUGCUUGCUUUAAGGUCUCUAUGAAUAAUCCGUAGUCGUGAAUCUUGAUGGAGAUACAAUAAGCCACGAGCAAUUCCAUUGAUGAUGUUGAAACGCUUUGGCCAAUCAAGUAAUUUGUUCUUUGUUUGGUCUGCAAAAUAAGCUUUCUUGUGAGCAUAUUUUUUCAUGUUAUGACUACUAGAUCAAAUUAUUACUCAUUUUAGCUUGUACAAUAGGUUAGAAAUCCAAACCAAAUAUGUAUGAAUCUAGGCUGUUGGUAGGCAUGUAUUCAUAGAUCAACAUCUUUUCUUCUCCUUGGAUGCAGCAACCCAGAAGUCUCACAAGAUUUCUAUGCUGAAGCUUGGCAAUAUAGAUAACUUCGUUCUUGUAUUCGUCAAUUCCUUGCAUGGAAGUCCUCGACAGUCUCUUCACGGCAAUUUCUUGUCCCUCUUCCAGUACUCCCUAGAAAUGGCAAAUGUAUAAUAGCAGAACAUAGAUUUUACAAAGACUAGAAUAUUGCAGAAUAAAAUCAUUUCUAGCAUAAACUAGUUACCGUUCCAACAAAUUUACACUGUAUACCUUGUAAACAGGUCCAAAUCCACCCUCUCCAAUCUUGUUGUUGAGCGAAAAGUUAUUUGUGGCUCUUGUUAUUGUAGACAAUGGGAACAGUGGCAGUUCAAAAUCUUCUCUGAGUUUCAGUUUCUUCUUUUUGCGCUUGUACCACAACAAAAUCAGGAUUAGCAGAAUCGUUGCCAUCAACAAUGAGAAACUCAGUGCAAGUAUCAUUGCCUUCUUUCUUUUCGAACCUGCCUCAGAUUCUACAAUUAAUUUUUUAAGUCAACCACCGCAAAUCAAGACAGGUCACUAACUUUGCAUUAUAUCAUCUCUAUUUGUUGAAAAAAGAGAGUUAAGAAACACAUGGGAAAUUUCUUAAACAAGUUCUUACCUUCCUCAAUUGAAAAAAAA